AUUAUGAAUUUCAAAGUUCCGACAGUUUUAAUCAUUUUUUAAUUGUUUUAUUUUAUCGUGUAUAUGUUACGUGUUACUGUGUAUUCUGAUGGAUUUUAAUUAAAAAUGUCCUAUUAUAUGAUUAUCCAGGUGUCACAAUUGCCUAUUAUGGAGAUAAGAAAUUUUUUUAGUAAAAAACCCCGUCUUCAAAACGAAGAACAGGUUCAUGCUUCAACAAGAGAAGAAGCUGAAAUUCCCAGUGAGGAUAACCUCCUAUUAGUAAAAACACUUCUAGUACUAAUGCUGGAUUUCCGGACGAUAUUGCUCAAAUUGAGGAGCCAAUUAAACAAGUUUCUUUGAACCGGUAUCCAAGAGGAGGAAAAAACAGAGCUUUUGUCGCCGAUUGGUUUUAACUAUACAAAUUUACAUACAAAAGAUUUAGACACUUAAUCUAUACUGGAGAAUGUGCAGAAUCGAGCUGGAGCCUCGAAGGAUACAGCUUCCACUUAUAGAAACUGUCCAUAUAGUAGUACAUAAUACAUAUAUGGGUCAUGUUUUUUGGUUGUAUUCCAAUUUGGAUAGAAAAUGGCGUCUCUCGUCAAUGAAACGCCACCUAACAACAAGCGUAAGGUGCUGAAGAGAAAUCAAGUCUAUUUCAAAAGAAUUAGAUGGUAUAUAUGCUUGCGUAUCGAAAAAUAUUAUUGGAAAUGAAAGAAGAGUGGAAAGAACUAGAAUAAUAGUUGAACAAGAUUGGGAAGAAGUCUACGAACAUGACUCCAAUAUAAAUUUGAUAAGAGUACUUAUCAUAGCUGCUACGUUAGUUAUUGUAGGAAUAGGAGGUUACAUAGUUUUCAGGAUGUGGAGGGAAAGAUACUACUAUCCCAGCUAUUUAGGUCAUGAAGAUGAGGGAGGAAGUACAGAAGAAAUUUAUAGAUCACCAACUACAUCUGGAAUAGGUAGGUCUAGAAGCCCCAGAAGAAUAAUUUUAGAAAGAAGCACGUUGCAUCCUAUAGAUAAUGAUACAAUCACUACAGAUUUUAAAAGUAUUCUAGAAAGAGCAAACAGCUAGAAGUAUAUAUGCUUUCAGUAGUACUUAAGGAAAGUAGAUUCACAAUUUGGAAUAUCUACCGCUUUUACUCAAAAAAUAUUCAAUAAUGAUAAAUAUUUGAGUUAAUUAAAAAUUAAUUUCAAUUUAAAUUGAUUGAUGAGAGUAAUGAUGAUAUUAUUUUCAAUUAUACAAUUAUAGAUAAUAGUCUAAGAUCCCACCGUUUGAUCUUGCAGGUAUCUGUUUUUCAUAAAAUUAAUUUUAAAGGAAUCAUGAGGAUGUAUGGAUUGGAUUAAGGAUAGGUUGCCUUGUAAAAAUUAGCCGAAAUUACCUGUAAUUAAUUUUAAUGUCAUUAAUAUCCUUAUAUGACUUGCAGCUAUAUGUUUUUUCAGUCAAUCUUACAGCAUUUGAAAGAAAAUGUUGUCACAAAUCAAAAUAAAAAUGGUUGCCAGCUCUCAGUCGGCCGCAACAUUAGGGUUGCCAGGUGUAAACAGGUAUAUUAUUGUUAAUUAACUCCAUUCACCAGCUUUUUUUUUAAUUUUUAUGCAAAAUUAAAGUUUUAUAUACAUUGAACAUGAAAAUCCAUGGUUGCCAGAUGCACAAUGGCUGCAAACAGAGGUUGCCAUGAUUUUUGUGAACGACUCUCGCUCCAGGUAAGUGCAAGAGAGAAGAUGCACGCAAUGCUACGGCGGCCUGAGAGCUGGCAACCAUUUUUAUUUUGAUUGGUGACAUCAUUUUCUUUCAAAUGCUAUAAGAUUGACUGAAAAAACAUAUAGCUGCAAGUCAUAUUAGUAUAUUAAUGACAAUAAAAUUAAUUACAGGUAAUUGCGGCUAAGUUUUACAAGGCAACCAAUCCUUAAUCCAUUCCAUACAUCCUCAAGAUGCCUUUAAAAUUAAUUUCAUCAAAAAAACAGAUACCUGCAAAAUGAAGUGUGGGGAUCUUAGACUAUAAACCCAAAUACACAAUUAUUAUAUCAUAUGUUAUAAUUUAAUAAAAGAAUAUUUUGGUUAUUA